rnacentral:rRNA from 1 species
UAUGGCGGAUAAGGAUGAGCGUGCGCAAGAUUAGCUAGUUGGUGAGGUAACGGCUCACCAAGGCGACGAUCUUUAGCUGAUGUGAGAGCAUGAUCAGCCACACGGGCACUGAGACACGGGCCCGACUCCUACGGGAGGCAGCAGUGAGGAAUAUUGGUCAAUGGACGGAAGUCUGAACCAGCCAUGCCGCGUGAAGGAUGAAGGCGUUCUGCGUUGUAAACUCUUUAUUUAGGAAGAAACCACCGAUUUCUAUUGGUGUUGACGGUAUUAAAUGAAUAAGCACCGGCUAACUCCGUG